rnacentral:SRP_RNA from 1 species
GCCGGGUGUGGUGGUGCACACCUGUAAUCCCAGCUAUUCAGGAGGCUGAGUCAGGAGAAUCGCUUGAACCUGGGAAGCAGAGGUUGCAGUGAGCUGAGAUUGUGCCACUGCACUCCAGCCUGGGUGAUAGAGUGAGACCCUGUCUCAG